AGAAAAGAGGGUAUUAUAAAUGAGGGAUGGCAGGAGUUGAAACAGCACAUAGGGGUGAAACCUCUUGCAGCAGUGGAAGCACAGUUGCUCAGCAAAGAUCAUCCUCCUUGGAGGGUCCAUGGUACUACAUGCAAAGACAGAAUGGAGCAGCAGACAUUUGGGACAAGGCCCUUACUCUGGUGGGAACCAGUGAAGCCACAUCAUCCCUGAGUGGCAUCUCUAAUACAGUGAAAGCAUAACUUUCAGAACCUACUUGGACUUCUACUACAUUGCCACUUACAUACUGAGAACAAAAAAAGUCAGGUGUGGCCAGGACUUAGGUUGAUUAUUCAACAGAUGGUGUCAUGCCCACCCACAAGUGCGUCUUCUCAGUUACUGGCAUACAUAGAGGUCACAGCUCUCACCAGGGUCUGUUGAGAAAAUUACAUUUUUCAAAUGUAACCUGACAAGCUUGGCUAUGUGUUAAUACGGAUUGAAUGUAGAGGAGCCAACAGCUUUCAAUGUGUGACUUCCACCUUUUCCCUGGGCUCACAUGUAAUGUUGCUGCUGCUAUUCUGAGCUCACUUCAAGGGUUGCUGUUAAGAAGAUAGGACUGCUACUGCUUCACCCUUUAGAGCAAGCAUGUCAAACUCAAAGUCUGGAUCGGGCCACAUAAACAAGGUUUAAGUUUAUGUGGGCCGCAAAAAAACUCUGUAAAUUUUCAUUUUCAUAGAAACUCCCACUGACACACACACAUAUUCACUGACAGACACACACAUACAGACACACACACACAUACUCACACACUGACAGACACACUCACUGAGACACACACAUACUUGCUGACAGACACACACACUCACUGACAGACACACAGACAGACACAUACUCACUGACAGAGACACACACAUACACACCACACUUACACAUUCUUUUUUUUAUUUUUUUUAUUGCUCCUUACCUUAUGGAGCCGAUGUGGGGCAUCUUUCUGGGGUCCUUCCUGCUCCUCACUGCUCCCUUGCGCUUUUUAGUGAUGCCGGGUGCCGGAAUAUGAUGUCAUAUUCCGGCGCCCGGCUUCACUUCAGACAGCGCGCGGGAGGGAGCAGUGAGGAGCAGGAAGGCUGAGCUCCUUUGCUGCAUCCACCGUCCCUUUCUCCCCAGCCGGGUAAGUGUUAGCAGAGUAGGCACCCGCAAUGUGGGGAAAGCAGGUGCCCACUCUGCUAUAACACUGAGCAUGUACUCGCGGCUCGCCGGGCUGCAAAGAUGGUCCUUGUGGGCCACAUGCGGCGAAUUUGACAUGCUUGCUUUAGAGCAUCGUCACCUCUUUCCCUGGGCUCAUGUGCAAAGGCUCUGCUGUUGCAACUGUUCUGAGUAUCCAUUUUUCUGUCAACCUGCUACUGUACCAAUGAUUUCUGUUCCAUCAUUCUAACAUUCGCAGAGUAGAGAUUUUUAAUUAAUUUUCUGACUAAAUGACCAAAAACUUACAUUUUGGUCAUUUUGCGAUUCUUCUGAAACCAAGUGCACAUGUCUAUUGUUUAUUCCACUACAAAUGCCAUCUUUGCCAGUUAACACGUAGAAAUUUUGUUGAGUANNNNNNNNNNNNNNNNNNNNNNNNNNNNNNNNNNNNNNNNNNNNNNNNNNNNNNNNNNNNNNNNNNNNNNNNNNNNNNNNNNNNNNNNNNNNNNNNNNNNUUUUUGAUGUUGACAAAAAAGAAGGCAAAAAAAACCCAGGCUGAAGUGCUUCCAAUUUUGCACAAAAAAAAAAAGGAAAAAAAAUGCCUUUUUGACCCUAGAGUGAGAUCUCUCCUUGGAUCAAGAACCUUCCAACUAAUUAAAAAUUAUAUUCCUCUAUAUUAUGUUUUUGCAAGUAUUUAUCCAAUUGCUGUUUAAACGUCUGUAUAGCCUCUGAUAAAAGCACCUCUUCAGGGAGAGAAUUCCACAUCCUUAUUGUUCUAACUGUAAAAAAAUCCUUUCAUAUGCCUUAGGCCAGGGUUUUCCAAAAUGUGGGUAGCAACCCACUGGUGGGUAGCCGCCUGAUUUUUAGUGGGUCGCGCUGACCCACACGUCCAGGGCCGCCGGGGAACAGAAAGAGAAUCUUCAGACUGAUUAGUUGGGCCCUCAGUCCAGGACAAACAUGUUGAGAUUCAGGAAAGUAUGGCACACUUAAUAUGCUGAUCAAGAAAAUAAACUUACAUACUUAAACAGGAUACUACCACAGUGAGAUACUAGUGAGUUAUUCUGAUAGUAGGCUAGGCUAGUUGAUAAUAUGAUCAAUGCAAGUGGGAAAUGAGAACAUGCGUAUUCUCAAGAGGAGAAUGAAAAACCACUGAGGCCUUCUUUUUACAACAAAAUUACGAGAACCGGCAGGUUAUUGGUAGCCAAGGGUUAGUGCAUUAACAUGAAGUAGCUGUGGAUGUUGGCUAUAUACCCUAGUUUUCGAGCUGCAGUGUUACUAGGAGUGACCAAAGNNNNNNNNNNNNNNNNNNNNNNNNNNNNNNNNNNNNNNNNNNNNNNNNNNNNNNNNNNNNNNNNNNNNNNNNNNNNNNNNNNNNNNNNNNNNNNNNNNNNAUCUAUAACAGGGAAAAAGUUUUUUGUUUUUAAAUCAAGCAAUUGGCCGGCACAGAUGUAAUUGGUGGCACUGACUGGGGAAAUGGGCACUGUGAGCCUGACACAGAAGCUGGCAACAGUGGCAGACAACUAAGUGCAUUUACAUUAGAUAGAAAAAAAAAAUCCAAAAAAAGCAUACCCUUAUCCCUAACCUAGCUAUGCUUUUCCCUAUCUUAUGAACAGCAGCUACACUUUCCCUCCUCUUACUAAGCAUGCAGCUUGAGAAUAAAUCUAAAAUGGAUGCCUUCCAGGAGGUGGGAGGGUCUGCUAGGGAGGGUGUGCUGCUAAUUGGCUGGAAUGUGUCUGCUGACUCUGAGGUACAGGGUCAAAGUUUACUCAAUGAUGACGAAUAGGGGGCGGGUCGAACCGCGCAUAUGUUCGCCCGCCGUGGCGAACGCGAACAUGCUAUGUUCGCCAGGAACCGUUCGCUGGCGAACCGUUCGGUACAUCACUAUCUGUGAACGAAAUGGAGUGACAGUGAUCCUAUCAGUGUACUGCAAAAUAAAUAUAUGAAUAUAUAAUAUUUAUAUUAUGUAUUUAUUUUGUAGUACACUGAUUUGUCCAUUUUAGUGCCCUUUGAUUCACCUGAUUAGCUUUUCCAAUUUUUUUUUAGUUAACAAAAUUUUGUAUUGAAUGUUUUUAUUGUUUUGAGGCACAGAGUUAGAUCAUAGAGAUAACUAAGGGAGAAAAUAGACAUAUGUUUGACUAUGUAGGCACAUAGUGAGUCAACAUGAGUCAGUGCCCUGAUAAGUAACCUUUGCAGAGGUUCAAGAUGGCAUAUACUGUUAGAGAAUAAGCACCAGGGUACAUGACUGCACCUGGUAAAAUUAUGUAUAAAAUAAAUGGAAAAAGUAUAACUAGUGCUCUGUAGAAAAAAAUAAACUGACUAGCAUGUAAUGCUAUAUCAGCAGAGUUAUGGAAGACCUGUCAUGUCAGGAAUGCUGCACUUAUCAAUGUAAAAUAACAAGCAAAAGGGAGGAAAAAAAUUGGUGUGGGGGGGGGUAGUCUACAUAUAUAGGAGUGCUCCAACCUUGCAGACAUCAAUUAUAGGAAAUUAAAGCCUAGUCUGAGUUAGGCACUGAUAUCGAAUUAAACUUAAAGUGUUCACAAGAUAAUCUUUUGUUAUAUGCAUUUAGGGAAAUGUUUUAGUAUAAACGAGAGGAACCAGUGCACAUUAACCCAUGAGUUUUAAGAGUAUUCCUUGUAUCUGUCAGGAUCGCAGUACUGUGUCACACCUAGGACUAGGGAUAACGUAUAACCGGACCUGGGAAUGGCCGGACAAGCAUCUCUCAUAUUCUUGCCACAAUAUAAACACGGACUCUCUCUUCUAAAAUAUUGUUUCUCUGCCUCAGACAGUCCUGUAUCCCCUAACUGUAUAGGUUAGUGUUCAAACAGCGUUGAGAGUACAGUGUGAUGAGACCAAUCUCGCCAUAUUGCAUUGGAGAAGCCUGGUUGCUCGCCUGUUGCCUUUGGAUUAUGGCCCCAUGUUAAAAGGCUUGAUUUUCCCCUGCAAAGACAUGAAAGCCGGGCCAUUUGGUGCUUGCCCUGUUUGAGCGGUGAUACCCCAGAUAGCUAUGCCAUGGAGCCUAUUCGUAUAAUGAAAGACUAUGGGAACGACUUUGGCUCCAUGGCAAUUGAUCUGUAUGUGUGUGCUCUGAGUGCCAUUCAGUAAUAAUGUGUGCUCAGAUCUGAGCUAUCUGGGGAUAUGUUGAAUGUACCUGUUUUGUGCAAUGGCUGCACAGUUAUAUGUUUUUAUGUGUUUUAUUGUCUUUUGCUGCCAUGUGUUCAAUGGAGUUUUGCCUCUGUCCUUGGAGAUAAUUGAAUUACUUCCCAAUUAUCUCCAGGAUAGAAGACUCUGUGGAACUGGUUUUGGGCAGAAAAGCCAUGCUUCCUACAAUCUAUCUUUUGAACCACUGGACCAAUCUGGAUGAUUUUGACAUAUGUUUGUAUUUGGAGUAUGCUGAUUCUGAAAAUGUAAGUGAAUGUGAUGCAUACUUUUCAAGUUAUGAAUAAUGUGGAAAAUUUGUAUUUCUCUGCUUGUGAUAAUUACAUUACCCAUUGUGUAAGGUAAUUGAAUCACAGGCAGAGGGGAGGAUUUUGUGUGGGAGUGUCUGAGUGUAUUGUAUGUGUUUAUUGGUUGUGUUCCAAAACCCUGUGGGUGGUACUAAUGUGUAUAUAAGAACAAUAAACCCACAGCUCUGUCUGUUCACUGCUUGACCGUCAACACGGAGCCUUGUCUCGUCUUUGGGGGGAUUUACUGAACGCUGAUAGAGACUGAUUGCUAGGAGUGUAAGCCGCUUGGGCGCUUCUCCUAUUCGUCUGCUAGCAGCGAUUCGGAUGGUUCCAGUUCGUGAGUUUGGAGUGCUAUAUUGUAUGCAGUUCGGGAGAUUGGAGCAUUCCCUUAUUUGCAGUUCGGGAGUUUGGUGUUCUAUAGUAGCUGUGCCUGCAUCUGACAGGGGAUGAUCGCCUAAACGGUUUUAACCCCUUGUGUGCUGAAACGGUCUGUUACAUACAGGUACAACAGGUUUGGAGAAUCGAGGUGCUAGUGACAUAGUCCAACAUCUAGUUCUGUUUCUAGUAAUUUCCCUGGUCCUGAGUAUAUUAUCGAUCUGCAUUACAUAGGUAAUAAAGUCAUUUAACCCCUUAGGUAGGUCUUUGGUAGCAAUUUGAUCAAGUAUAAAUUUGGAUAAUCUUUUUUUAAAAGCAGAAGUUAAUCCGUUGUUAGUCCAGUCUACCUCAGAAGCCAAAGUAUGAAAUUCUAUGGCAUAAUCCGAGAUAGACCGGCUCCCUUGUUGGUAUGCAAUAGGGCAAUGGAAGCGUCUUCCUCUCUGCCUAAUGGUUCAAACGUCAGUUUGAAUUCCACCAGGCAUUCCUGGUAACAAUGAGCGAUACACCUAUUACUUUCCCACAAUGGAUUAGCCCAGGUUAAGGCCUUACCUUAAAGUUGGUUCAUCAGAUACCCAAUCUAAGCUCUAUCUGAAGAAAUUUAAUUAGGUGAGCCCUCAAAGUGGUACUUAAUCUGAUUGAGAAAUCCCUUACAUUCCUGGAUAUUACCAGAAAAAUGCGGCAGAGGAGAUAAGGAGAUCGUAGGUGCCUUAUAUACUAUAGGUGGAGGUACAUUAGGCAGUGGUGACAUAAUCGGAGAAACCUCAGGCUAGUAAGGAGCAUGCUAAAACCCUGGGCAAAUUGAUCCACACAGUGAUCAUUCUCCUCUAUGUUUGGCUCACAAGCACUGUGCUGACACAAUUCUGUAGGAUCUAUGGCCAUGUCGUGAUGUCAGGAUUACAAGUUGAUCCAGCACGCAGUACUGUGUCACAGCUAGGACUAGGGAUAACUAGACCUUAGAAUGACUGAACUUAACGUCUCCAAGAAUAGUCAAAAUACUUGCCGAGGUUAGGGACACAGAAUUAGACACAACGAUGAGGAAAAGCCAAAAGUCAAGUAUACCAGAUAUCAGGGAAGUAAAAACAAAGCCAAAGUCAAAUACCAGAAAAUCUAAAUCAGGAACGCACUCUCGGAUAACCAUAGGCAUGAAACCACUACAGGGCAAUGAGAGAAUGGAGAAAUGGGUUUGAAUAACCCUCUUGUGGAUCUGAUUGGCCCUAACCGGCCUUUGACCCCAGAAUGGGCGUUUACCAGGCAUCUGGGUGAAUGAUUUUGAGCGGCACAACUUGCCCUGUCAGGACAGUAAAUAUCAUUAAUAACAUUUUUAUGUGUGGAUGAAUACGUUAACGUACUGCAAAUAUGAAUUGAUAUUAUUUAAAGGGUUAAACUCACAUUGGCAAAAGAUUAUAACAUUUAGGUUGCCAGUCUAUUGAUGACUAAAUUAUGAAAAAAAACAAGGACUGAAGAUGUAAAAUUUAAUAAGACCCAUCAUGGGCGUGGCUUGCCUGGUGAUGGAGUGAUGUAGCUCCGUUGCCCUAGCUCACUUAGACCUCUCAGACACAAGUCUUUUACCUGACUAUGGGGAAAUCCAGACGCAUGAUGAAACCUGGACCCUCAAACACAGAUUCCAUGAGGUGCACACAGGGCCCCCAGCAAUCUCAGCUAAUAUGCUCACAUGGAGCAAGAAAGCCAAGCCAGUGGCUGAUCUAAGAUUGGUGAUCUGUGAGGUGGUGCUAGAGGUGCAGAAAGACCUCUCUGCCUUGGAACAUUAGGUGGAGGAGUUGGAGGCUGAGCAACAACAAGCCACUAAUAUGGCAACAUAUGUAUCUCUGUCCUCCUGGAACUACACCAACAAGUUGAAGACUUGGAUAACAAAGGAAGGUGGAACAAUAUUCGCAUCACAGGUCUACCUGAAACCAACAGGGAAUCCCUGCCCGAGGUCCUACUAGGCUUGUUCACACUUAUAUUAUGGGAAGCAGCCUCUACAGAUUUUGACAUAAAGAGAGCUCACAGGGUACCCAGGAAAGAUGACCAGCUGUGGGAUGUUAUAUUCUGUCUACUUUAAUUUCAACAGAAAGAUGCUAUAAUGAAAGCCGCCAGACCACAGGCUUCUAUCUCAUACAGGCCUUUAUCACAGGCCUCUAUGCUCCUAUUCCCUCUCCCCAUUCUCAUAGAGCGUGGACUGAUGAGGGGUUUUGAGGGGACACGGGUUCACUGCUGCCGAAUGUUUCUUCAUCCUUCCCUAUGUUGGGCUAUGGAUUGUUGCUGAAUCUGUUCCAGAAUAUGUUACUAAUAUUAGGAGAUGCCCUAUACCUCAAUCUGCUCUGAUCAGAUCAUGGUUCAUCCAUCCCCUUUUUUUUCUACAAUUAAACUCACCAUGUGUUGGGUCAUAUUUGUUCAAAAGCAUUUACCAUCAAUCUUGAAAUACAUCCCAUACAAUGUAAAAAUAUAAACAUAUGUCCUUAUCCCGUGGCAUAAGUCAGGGCAAGCCUUCUUACACUACCAGACCCACUCCACCGUCAUCCCCACAAAGAGAAGUCUCCCAACUGUGAAGAAACUACCCCUGUUAUUUGGGUACUUUAGUUUUUUUUCCUGUUCGGUAGAUAAAGCUACCGACCCCCCCCUGCUCAUUUACUUUAAAGACAAUCGCCAAUUAAGUGCUCUCUCUGUGUGGCCGCCAUUCGUAUAGUCGAACACAACACAAUGUAAGAGAUAACAGUGACCAUCUUGUUCGCACGAAAAGAGGCAGCGGUACUUGGUCGUCGAGUGUCUGGAACUAAAAUUGGACACUCAAUUUCCCGUACACCGGUCAAACUUCACGAACGCCUGCUUCUUUUCACCUAUCAGCCAGGAGAGCACUAUUCGGAAGAUUUGUUCCAACGAACUAGGGGAACAAACGCUACCUACGAGCCAGGGGAUCUGUUCAUAGAUUUUUUUCAGUUUUUGUACUUGUUGAAAAAGACCGACUGCACAGCCCAGUUUGAUGGAACUAUUUCUGGGUGAUUUUUGCAUAUGUAGGUCCUUCAGAUCGGGGCUAUCAGCAAAUGUUUUUUGAAGGGUUUCCAUGGGGUUUGGGGUACUUUCUAAGUUUUACCAAAAUGUAUGUUUUUUUUGUGUUGGGAGAUAAUUGAGUUUAGUAAAUUGCUUGACUCAAUUAUCUCCACAGUACAGGGGAAAAUGCUGUUAUUGUAUGUAGGAAUGUCCUGGACCUGAGAACCAAUAGACUUACAGAAUUAAUUUUGUCACUGUCCCCUCUCAGGUCCAGUGGGGAAUGCCCCUGGAAUAUGUUAACUGAAACCCUGUGCAUUGUUUACUGCAUAAAAGCCAGGCGGUUAGCCUGAAUAAAGCAUUCCUGUUACACCCUUCAUCUAGUUUCAGCUGAUGUUUGGGUACUUGGCUGGGAGAAUAUACAUGGGAGCUGUAAUUUGUCUGGAGAAGCGUUUGAACAAACACCCAUACUGCAAGCUAUAAUCACUCAGGCUCUAGCAGUUCGGGAGGAAAUAGAUGAACGGGUACCUGUCAUACCAGCGUUCGUUACACUUCCCAUCACCUCUAUAUCUGAUAUCCCACAACCCACUAUUUAACCUGGUGGAAACAGGAAACACGUAUCGUACUUGACCCCUUACCUAACUUUGGGGGCUCUUGUAGGGGAUUCUGGUAUAAAUCCGCUAGCUAUUCUCCUUCCCAAUGAGACACAUUCAGCACUAUGGAAAUUCCAUUAUAACCAAAUACUAGACUUUGUCCACACGGGGCCAUACCUACAGAAAGAGACCCGAGCACUCACAAAGUUUGAGUAUAACUGCUCAGUACAGAUCUCUAUCAUGUACUCCUUGCUACAAACCACUCAACUGAAACAUCUCCUGACAUACACAUCAGCUGGGAGAAAGAGCUCAACCUCUCAUUAACAGCAGAAAACUGGCACAAUAUAUUUCGGCUUAUACACAAAAACUCUCUGAACCUAGCAGUUCAAGAGAGUAAUUACAAGAGGAUAGUAAGAUGGCACUAUACCCCUUUCAAACUCCAGACACUGUUCCCUCUCUCAUCCAACCAAUGCUGGAGAUGCCAUCAACCAAACAGCAAUUCGGCACACAUAUGGUGGUCCUUCCCAGUGAUUCAGAGGUUCUGGUCACGUAUAGCGGGUAUAGCCCACACUGUUCUGGGGUAAUAUCACUCAAACACGUAAUUUUCAUAUUUCUCCUCUUCCCGAAAAAACUACCUAAACCUAACACAUCCUUACUUCAACACCUCCUGCUGGCAGCAAACCAACUGAUCCAAAAUGUUCUGGAAGAGAGCAAACACUCCAUCCACAGGAGACUGGAUCCAGAAAGUAGAAAACAUCAGGAUCAUGGAGGAGACUUGCCACUCCCUGUCCAAACAGUAUCAACAUUACACUUCGACCUGGGACCCAUGGUGCAGAUUCAUCAAACCCACUUAGUAUGAGAACAAAACCCUGAUCCUAACAAUUGAUACACACAAUGUACAGAUGCCCACCCCCCCAGCGCCAUUCUAGUUUAGAGGUUUGCAAUGGCCCUGGUGGCAGGAUAGCCACUCUGUUUUAUGUGUUAUGCUAUAUAUUGCUAUUACUUAUGUUACGUUAUGCCUUGCAUCUUGAUCAAUCUGCUAAAUUGCACACAUGUGGAAUAUCCUUGAGCAAUGGCGGGGACAUGAUCACCCUCAAUAAAGGCCAACCACGCCUUACCGAGCCCUCCUUCGGUAAACUCUACAAUGAGAGUCUAUAGAUAAAUACAUUGAUCAAUGAAUAAAAAACUGCUUGCACAUACCCUAAUGAUAACACCAACAUACAAUUUACAAUAUGAUAUACAAUAUUACGAUAUGCCUCAAAGUGAUAUCACAUCACUUCUCCACACCAGAAAAGCUUUGUAUUUACAGGAAUGUAGUUUGUGUAACCAGGGCCAGAUUAAGAGCCCAGUGGGCCUGGUGCUGACAAUUCUGACGGGCCUGAUUACAGAAUCAUAUCGACCAAAAACAGUAAAACACUCAUAAGCAUCAUGUAUCUGAUGGAGAUGGUGCUGGAGAGAAAGAAAACAGCAGCUAUAAGAAAACACAUACCCAACACUAAUCUCUCUCUAAUUUAUGUUUUCAGCUUUCAAGUAAAUCCAUAACCCCUAACAGCAACGUCCAAUCAAGCAGGAAGUCAAUGGGCACGAUAAAAGGGUUUGCCACUGACACAAAUCACGUAACCUGCCAAAACGGGCAAACAUGCCCAAAAAGAGGACAUUUCUGCUCAAAGAACUAGAAGGCCAGCCUGACAUGAAUGCAUGUCAGGCUGCCUGCCAAUCAUGCAGCUGGCCAACUAAGGGCAUACUAUGCAGACAACACCCUGAGCUUGGCAUAAAUGCAUCUAAUGAUGCGCUCACUCAACGCUUUCCAAGGACUGUCCCCUAGCACUCGCUGGUCCACUUGUCUCCUUACCUUCUUACUAGCAGGCAGAAGACCCUGGUAUAUGGUCUGGGACAGAGUAAAGCUAUAUGUAGUGAGUGUAGAAGAAAGGGAACAUGCCACAGUGUUAGAGAGACCAAAGUCAGCAUUACCUUAAAGGAUCACUAUAGGGUCAGGAACACAAACAUGAAUUCAUGACCCUAUAGUAUUAACACCACCAUCUAGGCCCCCCUGGAUCCCUCAUGUCUCCAUAAAUAUAGCAAAAUCUAUAUUCAAGCCUGAAGCUGUAACUCGGCAUGCUGUUAGACUCAUAAAAACAAGCAGUCUGCUGACAUCAUUAGAAGUGGUGGCCUGAUCCAAUCACAGUGCUUCCCCAUAGGAUUGGCUGAGACUGACAAAGAGGCAGAUCAGGGUCAAAGCCAGUAUGAUUCAAACACAGCCCUGGCCAAUCAGCAUCUCCUUAUAUAGAUGAAUUUCAUUAAUGAAUCUCUAUGAGGAAAGUUCAGUGUCUGCAUGCAGAGGGAGGAGACACUGAAUGUUUGGAUGCAUUUUAGGCAGCCAUGACCCAGGAAGGAUCUCUAACAGUCAUCUAAGGAGUGGCCAGUGAAGUUAUCACUAGGAUGUAAUGUAAAGACUGCAUUUUCUCUGAAAAGACAGUGUUUACAGCAAAAAGCUUGACGGUAAUGAUUCUACUCACCAGAACAAAUUGAAUAAGCUGUAGUUUUUCUGGUGACUAUAGUGUCCCUUUAACUAUAUUCAUUGUCAGCCAGUCCACACAAGUUUUGUUCCCAUACAUCCCACUUAAGUUUCCAUACUUAAGUAAGAGUAUGUGAAAAUUAGUUAGAGUUGCCACCUUUCUUGAAAAAACAUACCGGCCUUACUAAUUUGCCCAAUUAAAUAUGUAUGGAUGACAUCACAUGAUGUAAAUCACAAGGAGUGAUAUAAGAGAAAAUGCUGUAAAAUCACCAAAAAACUACUUAGUUUGAUUCUACUGUAUAGAUGGAUUCCUCCCAGUGCCCCCAUGUCUCCCAGUGCCCUCAUGACUCAGUGCCCCCAUGUGUCAAUUACUUCAGGUCUCAGUGUUCCUAUGUAUCAGUGUCUCAGUGACCCAUGUCUCCCAGUGUCCCUUAGUGUCUGCCAUAAUGUCUCCCAGUGUCCCUUAGUGUCUCAGUGUCAGCCAUAAUGUCUCCCAGUGUCCCUUAGUGUCUCAGUGUCUGCCAUAUUGUCUCCCAAUGUCCCUUAGUGUCUCAGUGUAUGUCUCCUUGCAGCCUUUCCCCCUUCCCUUACUUCCCUGAGCUGUAGGCUGUCUCUGCAGGGUGGGAGUUGCUGUCUGGACUCUCUGUAGCUGCACCCCUGCAGAGCAGUGAGUAUAGAUAGGCAGGGAUGGAUAUGCUGGAACUUCCUAUCCCUGCCUGUCUCCACACACAGCGACCCCUACUGGCCAGUGCUGGUAUUGCAGAGUAAUCUCUUGUUUAUACUGAUAAAAAUACCAGCAUUUGUAUUGCCAGUAUAACUGCAAUAUUGGCACCGCCAGGCAGCCCCAAAUACUGGCUGUGCCAAUAAAAUAAAAGCCAGAUGGAAUCCCUAAGAGUAGUGUGAAAAAAAAAAAAUUUUUUUUUUUUUUUUUUUAAAUCAAUGGGCCUAUUCCAUGGGCCUGGGCCUGGAGCUGCAGCUCCAUCAGCCCCUAUGUUAAUCCGGCCCUGUGUGUAACUCUCCACUGUAAAUAUAUUCCUUUUGUGUGCACAUCACUCUACAUGCUGCUACUUCAAAAAAUGGCUAUUGUCCUUAUAUUCAAACUAACAUAGACACGAUGUCUGCUAAAAAUUGCACAAUAGUAUAAAAUGCAUUCUUGGUCAUAUGAAAUAAAAUGAUUUUGAUAAAAUAAACAUGAACAUAUUUCAGCUAAACUGCCCUGACCAAAUUUUAUUCAAAAGCUAAACUCCUCAAUUGUGGAAUCUAGAUAGUGAAAUAUAUUUGGAAAGUAGCUGUUCGUUAAGGCAAAAUAAUGAAUGUGGCAAACAUGACUACUUGCUUGACAGGACACACAGUUGUAAAAUAAGUUCUAGACAGGGUGACUGCUAGUAAUUAGAAAUGUUUACUGUUGUGUAGUGAUGUCCCGAACGGUUCGCUGGCGAAUAGUUCCUGGCGAACAUCGCGUGUUCGCGUUCGCCACGGAUGGCGAACAUAUGCGCUGUUCAGUCCGCCCCUUAUUCGUCAUCAUUGAGUAAACUUUGACCCUGUACCUCAUAGUCAGCAGACACAUUCCAGCCAAUCAGCAGCAUACCCUCCCUCCCAAACCCUCCCACCUACUGGACAGCAUCCAUUUUACAUUCAUUGUGAAGCUGCAUUCUUAGUGAGAGGAGGGACAGUGUAGCUGCUGCUGAUUUGAUAGGGAAAUUGAUAGCUAGGCAAGUGUAUUCAGUGUCCACUACAAUCCUGAAGGACUCAUCUAAUCUCUCUGACCUCACUACCCCCCACAUCCUCAGCCUCACUACCCCACACACCACCCCCAGCCUCACUACCCCCCACACCACCCUCAGCCUCACCACCGCCAGCCUCACUACUCCCCACACCACCCUCAGCCUCACUACCCCCCACACCCUCAGCCUAACUACCCCCACACCCUCAGCCUCACUACCUCCCCACCACCCUCACCAUCACCACCCCUCACACCACCCCAGCCUCACUACCUCCCACACCCUCAGCCUCACUACACUCCACACCACCCCAGCCUCUCACUACCCCACACCACCCACAGCCCACUACUCCCACCAUCAGCCUCUGCUACUCACACUCCCACACCACCUCUCAGCAUCACUCACUCCCAUACUCACCUCCUCAGCAUCACCACCCCACACCUCACUCACUCCCCCACACCACCCCUCAGCAGGUCACCACCCUCAGCCUCCCCCACCACCUUCAGCCUCUGUCCCCACCUCAGCCUCACUGUCACCCACCACCCUCAGCAUCACCACCACCCCACCUCACCAUCGGCCUCACUACUCCCACACAAUCCCUCGUAGCAUCACCACCUCCCCCAUACCACCUCAGCCUCACUACCCCCACCCUCAGCAUCACCACCCCACACCCUCACUACCUUCACAAUUACCCUCAAAGUAUCACUACCUCUACAGCCUCCCCACCACCUUCAGCGCCUCUAUCCUUCACCACCUCAGCCUCACUACCCCGUACACCCUCAGCCUCACUACCCCCCACACCACCCUUAGCAUCACCACCCCCCACACCACCCUCAGCAUCACCACCCUCAGCCUCCCCCCUCAAUCCCUCUGUUCCUGUGCUUCCAUUUUUCUGGUUACAAUUACGUGUCUGUUAGUCCACCCAUUGUACAGCGCUAUGGAAUUUUGCUGGCGCUAUAUAAAUAAUAAAAUAAUCUUAAUCCCCCAUGCAGCAAAGCAAUAUCCUGCUCACAUUGUAUUACUUUACAGUAAUAUAGUUGUGUGGCUAUGUUAAAUAGAUGCGGACCCAGAACAGAACCCUGAGGACUUUUGCACUUUUGUCCAGCUUGCAAAUUGACCAUUAAUGACAACUCUUUGCACUAUAUAUUUUAGCCAAUGUUCUAAACACGAAUUUUCAUCUAGACCAAUUUCUUUUAGUUUGAACACUAACCUUGUAAGGAACCGUUUCAAAUACCUUGGCAAAAUCCAAGUAGAUCACAUCCACUGCACCACCCUGAUCUAUACUUCUACUUACUUCUUCAUAGAAUGCAAUUAGGUUAGUUUGACAUGACCUAUGUUUCAUAAAAGCAUGCUGACUAUUGCUAAUAACAAAGUUCUUCCCAAUGAAUUCCUGAAUAUUAUCCCUUAAUAGCCCUUCAAAUAUUUUCCCAGUCACAGAAGUUAAGCUCACAGGUCUAUAAUUUCCAGGCAAGGAUUUUGAACCCUUUUUAAAUAUAGAAACAACAUCUGCCUUCCUCCAAUCCUCCGGUUCAAUACCUGAAACAAAAGAAUCUUGAAAGAUUAAAUACAAAGGUUCACUUAUUUUCCCACUUAGGUCCUUUAGUACUCGUGGGUGAAUACCGUCAGGCCCCGGAGCUUUAUUUACAUUAAUUUUCUUUAACUGCUGUAGCACCUUCUGUCAUCCAAUCACAAGUUAUCUGCGAGUUUUUUGCAGCAAUCAUUUGCAUAUAUCUUGCCAUAGGAUCCUCAUUAAUAGAUACUGAAGAAAAAUUGUUAUUUAAAAUGUCUGCCUUUUCCUGGUCUUCAUUAAUUAACAGACCCAUCUGUGUUUCCAGUGUACCUACACUUUCAUUUUUAGUUUUUUUAGAAAUGAUGUAUGGGAAAAAAAAUUGGGGUUGGUUUUGCAUUCUUUGGCUAUCAAUUUCUAAUUUUCUAGUUUAGCCACUUUAAUUGUUUUUUUUUUUAAAGUAUUAUUGGCUUCCUUAUAUCUUAUACAGGAUGCCUCUAAUUGGCCGAUUUAAAUGCCCUUUUCUUAUUUUUAAUCUCUUGUUUUACUUCUCUACUAAGCCACAUUGGUUUUAAUUUGUUUCUUUUAUAUUUAUUACCCAAUGGUAAAUACUGAGAAACAAACCUUUCUAAUAUUUGUUUUUUUCACUAAGGAAUUUAUGCCAGUCGAUAAGUUGUAGAGCUGCCCUAAUCUUUGAUUUUUUUGCGUUUAUUAAAAAAAAAUACCAUAUUGUGAUCACUAUUUCCCAAAUGCUCCCCUACUUGAAUGUUGGUUAAAAGAUCAACAUAGUUUGUUAUAACGAGAUCCAGACAAGCAUAAUUUCUAGUUGGUGCUCGUACCAGUUGUGACAUGAAGGUGUCAUUUAACACAUACAAAAACCUGAUUCCCCUUGCUGAAGUACUAGUCACUCUAUCCCAAUUUAUGUCCGGGCAAUUAAAAUCUCCAAUAAUUAAAGUGUUACCCCGAUUUGCAUCUUUCCCAAUUUGCUCUAACAGCUGUUCUUCCUCAUUAAUAUUUACAUGAGGUGGUUUAUAACAUAUCCCAACAAUAUUUAAUUUCCCUUUGUUUGACCCAAGCAGAUUUCUACCCAUAAAGCUUCCACACAUUCCUUGUCACACUCCACAUGCCUAAGAUUUGACUUUAACUCAUAGUUGACAUACACACAUACCCCACCACCAUUCUUUUUUUUUCUAAAUGUGUACCCAUUUAAGUUAACUGCCCAGUCAUGUGUCUCAUCCCAACAUGUUUCUGUUAUGCCUAUUAUAUCAUAUUGUUUAGUGUAUGCUAUUGCCACUAGUUCCCCCAUUUUGUUAUAUAGGCUCCUUGUAUUAGUAAGCAUACAUUUAAUAUUAUCAUGAGUCAUUUGUACUUUUUGUGAAUUUUUAUCAAUAUUACAUACCUCCUCUGUUCUGAGCUUCCCCCUCCCCCCAUCUCCACCCCCUUAUACUGAGCUAAACCCCAUCUCCUUUCUAUCGUAUCUCCAUUUUCUAGAUUGCUUUGACCCUCCCCCCUACUACUAGUUUAAAAUCUCCUCCAACCUUCCAGCCAUUCUAUUUUCAUUUUAUUAUACAUGUUGUUACAAGAAGAGAGCACUAUAUAUUUUCUCUUUGUGUGCUUGUAUAUACCAAAUUGUGAGUUCACUUUUACUUUAUUUUGUAUUAAAUACACCAUUUGAAACUACUACACUAUCAGAGGCCUAUUCCGUGUUUACUCUUGUACAUAUUCCAUACAUUGACCUGUUGAGGAUAACAGAAUAACAGGAAUAGUCCAUUCCAUAAGAAGUUUCUCUUCAUAAUGACCUACUUUGGACCAUUAUAAAUAAUAAGGCAAAAUAUAAUAUAUUCUUGAACUUUAUUUAUUUUUAAAAUUCCAAUGUAGGGACUGACAGAAGGGUGAGGCGUGGGAGGUGCGGGCGAACAGGAAGAUGAGCUUCGCUGCCGCAUUCAUUAUGGACUGUAACGGCGCAUGUUGCGAGCAGUGGGGUACCUCAGGGAUCUGUACUUGGACCCAUUCUCUUUAAUAUUUUUAUUAGUGAUAUUGCAUAAGGUCUUGAUGGUAAGGUAUGUCUUUUUGCUGAUGAUACUAAGAUAUGUAACAGGGUUGAUGUUCCAGGAGGGAUAAGCCAAAUGGCAAAUGAUUAGGUAAACUAGAAAAAUGGUCAGAAUUGUGGCAACUGACAUUUAAUGUGGAUAAGUGCAAGAUAAUGCAUCUUGGAUGUAAAAACCCAAGGGCAGAGUACAGAAUAUUUGAUAGAGUCCUAACCUCAAUAUAUGAGAAGAGGGAUUUAGGGGUGAUUAUUUCUGAUGACUUAAAGGUAGGCAGACAAUGUAAUAGAGCAGCAGGAAAUGCUAGCAGAAUGCUUGGUUGUAUAGGGAGAGGUAUUAGCAGUAGAAAGAGGGAAGUGCUCAUGCCAUUGUACAGAACACUGGUGAGACCUCACUUGGAGUAUUCUACACAGUACUGGAGACCGUAUCUUCAGAAGGAUAUUGAUACCUUAGAGAAGGUUCAGAGAAGGGCCACUAAACUGGUUCAUGGAUUGCGGGAUAAAACUUACCAGGAAAGGUUAAAGGAUCUUAACAUGUAUAGCUUGGAGGAAAGACGAGACAGGGGGGAUAUGAUAGAAACAUUUUAAAUAUAUAAAGGGAAUCAACACAGUAAAGGAGGAGACUAUAUUUAAAAGAAGAAAAACUACCACAACAAGAGGACAUAGUCUUAAAUUAGAGGGACAAAGGUUUAAAAAAUAAUAUCAGGAAGUAUUACUUUACUGAGAGGGUAGUGGAUGCAUGGAAUAGCCUUCCAGCUGAAGUGGUAGAGGUUAACACAGUAAAGGAGUUUAAGCAUGCGUGGGAUAGGCAUAAGGCUAUCCUAACUAUAAGAUAAGGCUAGGGACUAAUGAAAGUAUUUAGAAAAUUGGGCAGACUAGAUGGGCCGAAUGGUUCUUAUCUGCCGUCACAUUCUAUGUUUCUUUUCCAUCCUAUCUCCAUUUUCUAGAUUGCUUUGACCCUCCCCCCUACCACUAGUUUAAAAUCUCCUCCAACCUUCUAGCCAUCUUAUCCCCCAGCACAGCAGACCCUCUUCCGUUUAGGUGCAAUCCAUCAUGACUAUACAGGUUGUACCCAAGCGCAAAACCUCUUUCCUGCACCGAGACUUUAGCCACGCAUUGACCUCUCUAAUCUCCCGCUGCCUUUCUGCUGUAUCGCGCGGCA
rnacentral:lncRNA from 1 species